UUUAAAAUAUCUACAAUGAGUAUUUUGAAUGAGGAAAUUUAUUUCUUGGUAGGUAUACGCAUAGAGCUUGGUCAUUCCGCCAAAGAUUUCCGUAUAAAUGUUCAAAAUCAAGAAAAUGAACAGGGUAAUCAAAGGAAUAACACAGUCUUGGGUUUACUACAAGCACUUCCAUCGAGGCUUUUAGAGUUUUUGGGAAUCAAGCGCAUUCGUGAGCUGAAAUUGAUCCAUGUUCGGUCACGUCAAAUUUUGGACUGCAUGUGUGACGUGAUAAAACAUUUAACUCGUAAAGAAAUGAGGGAUGGCGAUGUAUAUGGUGCAAUAUUCGUAGCUGUUGAAAAUGGGAUUGUUGAGGUCGUUACUUCUUUAUGUAAAGCCAGACCAGAACUGUUAUUCAGAACGAAUGGAGACAACAAGAACAUAUUUCAGCAUGCUGUUGAAUGCCGUCAAGAAAAAGUUUAUAGCCUUAUAUACGGGGUUCGUCAAAGAAAUCUCAUUACGAAUUUACUAGAUGAUUCCUACAACGACCUCCUACAUAGUGCGGGGAUGUUAUCUCCAUUGGCAAAGCUUGAUCGUAUUGCAGGUGCAGCCUUGCAAAUGCAGAGAGAAAGGCAAUGGUACAAGGAGGUAGAGAGUAUUCAUUUCCAACUCUCGGGAUCCUCAACUAAAAAUAAAGAUGGUUUGAUACCCUCUAAACUAUUUACCAAGAGUCACGAGAAAUUGCAUAAGGAAGGAGAAAAGUGGAUGAAGGGAACAUCAAGUUCUUGUACAGUUGUCAGUGCCCUCAUUAUUACAAUUAUGUUUGCUGCAGCAUUUACAGUUCCUGGUGGAAACAACCAAGAAACAGGUUUCCUAUAUUCUUAAACCAAAAACUAUUUAUGGUUUUUAUAGUUUCAGAUGCAAUUUCGCUCUUUUCUUCCGCAACAUCAGUGUUGAUGUUUCUGGGCAUCCUUACAUCGCGUUAUGCUGAAGAUGAUUUUCUCAAAUCCUUACCCACAAAAAUGAUAAUAGGCCAUUCCACACUCUUCAUCUCCAUUGCGACCAUGAUGGUUGCCUUUUCUUCUGCCUUAUUCAUCAUGCUUCAAGACAAACCAUGGAUUACUUAUCCAAUCGUCUUCCUUGCUGGUGUUCCUAUCAUUUUAUUUGUUUGGAUGCAAUUUCCCCUUCUCGUUGACUUUUUCGUGUCUACUUAUGGUGGAGGAAUAUUCGAUAGGAAAGUCAAACGCUGGAUAAAUUCUUGAUGGUGUAUGCGAUAUACUAAUUGUGUAAGUUGUAGUAAUGUUUGUCACUUCUAAGAAAGCUUGUAUGCAUUGUACACGCUAUACAAUUGUUUGGUUCCUAUAAUAAAAACUCCAUUGCUCAAUCUCUUAUUUUUUUAUUUUCGUGGCUAGUUCUGCUGAUUGUUACAGGGUUUUGGCUAGACAGGGAAAUGACUGGAUCCUCACUUAUAGAUAGGUUUAGUGUGUCAUUGAAUUGGUCAUGGAUGAUUAUUCUUCCAAAUACAGGGGAACUGAAUAGUACAGAAACACAAGAGUCUUCUUUGUGGAAAGCUUUGCCAGUCAUAGAUAGGCUAAACUUUGCUGUUUCAGACUGUUGAUAAACAUGGUAGUUAUUGAACCCUUCUGGCUUUUUUUCUAUGGGUAUACUAUCCACACAUCCAUUUUUACUUCUCACACACCCUCUUAAUUUUCGACCAUCAGAUUAAAUGAAUUGAAGAAUAUCAAAUGACAGAAAUUAAUAAGGGGUGUUGAGAAGUAAAACAUGGUGCGUGGAUAGUACAUCCCUUCUUAUAACAUUCGCAAUUGUUUGCUGUGCAUAUAUUUUGCCCAAGGUUUCUGAAAUCAACGGACACUUUCCCCAAAUGUGUUAUCUUCUGCAAUAAAACACGUUAGUGUUGGGAGCGGAGGUUACUAAGAUGUUCUCGCAGCCAUGCUCGCAACUUUCACCCAAGCUCGUUGAUGUUGCACACAGCGUACAAUCUGAUCAGCAGUUUCACUGUUCCUCUAUCCGAUCGCCCAAACCAAAAUUCAGUUUCCACAAUUCGUGGAAAUUCAAAAUCCAACCAAAAGGAAAGAGCUUUUUUCUUAGCUCUUGUAAUCCAGCCAUUUGGAUCCUCUGCAAUAUAUUACACAGUAAAAUGGCGUUUUUGUCCCUGCUGUGCGAUAGAAAUCUGUCGAUUUCUCCACGCAUCCUCUACUUUUAUGAGAUGUCGACGCGUUUUCAUGGUUCCAGAAGUUCUCGAGCCUUCCUUUUUUGAUUUCGAUUUCGAUCUCCAGUUGUCUGUUUCUCUCUCUCUCUCUCCCCCCCUUCCCUCUCUUGCUGCGUUGCGAUCCUCACACCACAAUCUCAUCCUUACAGAUUCGUCCUCUUCGUCUCGAUCCCGAACUGUAAGUUUCCUCUCUCUGCUCGCUCUUUCGCUCUCUUCUCUAACCCUAAUUUCCUCCCUCCGAUCAUCAUUCCGUUCAAUCUCCCAGAUCCCUAAUUGUUUUUAUCAUUUAUAUAAAAAUGGAUUAAAUUUUCGAUUUUUCUUUUCACCCCUUAUUAAAUUGGUCCAGCAUCUUUCAUUUUUCAGUUUCCUCUUUCUUUUCUUCUCUCUGUCUUUCCGUUUCUCUCUAUUUCUCCGUUUGUCUUUCGGUUUUGAUUCCAAUCGGAUUGUGUGGGAGGGUGUUUGGCAUGUUUUUCUCGCUGUUUUCCACGAACGAAUCGCUCUGUUGCAGGAAACAUUACCCUCUCUCUCUCACACUCAGAAAGCACCAACAACACUGUUUGGCUUGCAUAGGUUCGUGAAUUUGAUGAAAAUUAAAAUGAAUUUAAGGAAAAGAGUUUGAAGAAAGCGAAGGUGUGCAAUAAGGUGUUAAAAAGUUCGUUUAAUAUUAACAGAGGUACAUAUACAAGGAUUAUUAGCUAUACCUUAAACACUAAAGCUUACACCACAAUGGUAAGGAUCAAUGGUAUGUGAAAAAAUUCAGAGUUUAUUAGCUUUCUUUCAUUAACGUUUUACAUUUCAAUUCAAUCUUUACUAACCUUUCUCUUCAGUGGAAUUGGCUGAUUUUGUGAGUUAUUUGGUUUUCUUGGCACAUGGGAUUUCAAUUUUUUUUCCGUCGUUUAUGUGUGGUUUGUCUGAUGUAUUUUGAUUUUUGAUUUUAGAAAAAGUUAAGGAUACGAUCAAACGUUUAUUAAUGAGUUUCUAUUUUUUUUAAUUGUGUGUGAUUUAAAUUUUUUCGAGCUUUGGGUGUACUUUUCUGAUCUGCUUUGAUUUUUAGGUGCAGCAAGAGUUGUUGCUCGAAUUUCCAAUUUUUCUCUGCGGCUUUGCAAGCUCCUUAUCAUCAAGGUGCAGCAAGAGUUGUUGCUCGAAUUUCCAAUUUUUCUCUGCGGCUUUGCAAGCUCCUUAUCAUCAAGAAAGCAGUGGCUGCUACAGUACAACUCCAAUUGCAUAUCUUAUUUUUGUGCCUUCUGUUUAAUCCGUUGUCAGGGUUCUCAUCCCAUUAUCUGUUGUUUGGAGUUCAAAACAGAAUGGACAACCUCCUGUGAUUUGCAAGCUUUUAAACCACCAAAAAAACAUAAGGGUCUCUGCAUGUAAAGUGUGCACAAGUUAAGGCAGUUCAGAACCUAUGAAACAAGUAGCACUACUGAUGCACUGUUGGAGAGAUUAUGAACCUCUGUUAAGUCACAGUCCAGUGAAGGGAUUAGCCCGUUCGACUUUGUGUUUUAGAUGAAUCCGUUUCGGAUUGGGAGAAAAUUUAAACCCAGAAAAAGUUGGGUUUCCUGAUGAGUUGUCCGGCAGAUUUCAGGUUGACAACAAACAGGUUGAUCACAUCUUCAGUUUUCUGACUGAUUUAUUCAAUCCUAUCAGUUCUGAUUCUGUCCCUUCAUAACAUUUCCAGCACCAUCUGCCUUGCUCUCAUCACAGCUUGGCUUUCAGCUCCUCAGGAGAAAUAGUGGAAUGGUGGAUGUGAAAGUUUCUUUUACAGCAAUUCAAAGGGAAGAGCUUGACAGACAAUGGACUCUUCCCCUAUUCCUCCACAUUCACUUUUACCAAUUUCCAAGAACAUAUUAAAUUCCCUCAAACUAUAAGCCGAGGUAUGGAAAAGCUUUGAAUUCAUUGGUUUCCUCCAAUUAGUAUGCAGAACUCUAAAAAAAGAAAAAAGUGAGGGUUGAAUGACUACCCUCAUAUAUACACAGACAGAUAUGUAAAAAAAUUAGAAUGGUGAAAUGAGGAUUUAAUGACCUAUUACUCAUUUGGUUCUAUUUAAAUAAAGUUUGCUGAUUGGGUUCAA